UUUCCUUAUUUCUUUUCCCCCAAAACCGCCGAUCCCUACUUGCCUUCCCCGAUCUCCCCUCUUCCUCUUCCUCUCUCUGAUCUCCCUCGCAGACGAGCGGCGCCGACAGGAGCGAGGCUCUAGCUCCGGUGACCUUCCUCUACCGCCGUCGACACCCUAAGGUCAGAUCCGAUCGAUGCUUCUCCUUUCCAGACUGUAAUCGGCCGAGGAGUUGCGGUUCGGCGGAUCUUGCGGUAGAUGGCCAAAGAUGCUGCGGCUAGGGCACGGUGAAGGACCAAAUCUCGCGUCUCAUUCCACCGAAGCUUGGAGUGAUGCCCUAGUUUGGAUUUGUGCCACUCGAUUUGCCGGCGUGGGUCAGGUCUUGGAUUCCCUUGUUGAUUGUUGAUUUGAGGAUCGGAGGAAUCUUUGGUACGUUGCUUCACGGAUUCGAUCGGGUUGUGCGACAUCUUCUGGAGACUUGAGAUCAUGGACUUCUUCAUGGUUGCCGAUUGAAGUCUCAGAUUGGAGUAUACUGGAAUCUAGCAGAGAUAUGCUUGCUCUGUGGUGAUUCUAUGGUUCAGCAAAUUUCCUUGUUGCCAGCAGCAAGUUUGAUCCGAACAGAGGAGUUGAUUCCAGUAGGUUGUUCUGUUCUGUGGUGUGUUCCUGUUUCGGCAGCAACCCCAUUCCAAAAGCUCGAUCGAGGACUCUGAUUCGAGACGGGCGUCUCGACCUUGGAUCGCUUGGUUGUACCUUUUAUUUGAGG